rnacentral:rRNA from 1 species
UACGUAGGGGGCAAGCGUUGUCCGGAUUUAUUGGGCGUAAAGAGCGUGUAGGCGGCCAUACAGGUCCGUUGUGAAAACUGGAGGCUUAACCUCCAGACGUCGAUGGAAACCGUAUGGCUAGAGUCCGGAAGAGGAGAGUGGAAUUCCUGGUGUAACGGUGAAAUGUGUUGAUAUCAGGAGGAACACCCAUGGCGAAGGCAGCAAACUGGGCAUCAACUGACGCUGAGGCGCGAAAGCGUGGGUAGCAAACAGG